rnacentral:tRNA from 1 species
UACCUUAUAGUGUAUGAAGCACAAAAGAUUUUGAUUCUUUUAGAAAAUAGUUUAAUUCUAUUUAAUGUAA